GAGAGGCAACUGGGCAUGUAAACUGGAUGUAGAAUAACAGCUGAAAGGAGGUUGCUGCCUGUCUUUGUUAGGGGAAAGAAGGGGAGACUUGCUACUACCUCUGUCUUGGGAGGCUUCAACAAGCUGAUGAGAAAAGUUGAGCCCCUCAUGGAAUGUCACUGAAAUCCUCCCAAUGUGCAUCAGAACAAAAUACUCUGCAAGUAAAGGAAGAUACUGAAUAGUUCACAAGAGAGGAAUGAUUUUUACAGUACUGCAGAGAUGUCCUAUCAGUACAGGAGUGGCUGUCAAUCAGUAUCCUACAGGCCUCAAGAAAAAUUCAGUCAAUUUCAAUGGUUUUCUUUGAUUCCUACCAAAUGGCUUACCCAGUUAUGGGAUGUCUCUCUUCUGCCUAUGUCAAAAGCUACCGAGAAGCCUAGGAGCAAGAUGACUACAGAGAUUUCCCCCUUAGCUACUGAUAAGAGGAGACAAUCCUUCGCCUGUCAAAACCAGAUUUGCAAAGAGUUCUUUAAGUACCAUUCAUUAAACAGUUUUUUUGUUUUAAAUAUUUUCACAGCUGCCAGUCAGCCAAUCCUGGCAUGCUUUUUGAGAUAUAGUGGUAUCUACUGGUUUUUGUAUUGCAUCUGUACAAAGACUAAAAGAGAAGAGUCAAAUUCUCCUAUUUCAAUGAGAGCAUGAUCAUCUCUGUUAAGACAACAAGAAAAAACUGUUUUAACAUGCCUUCAUGUUGGAUGCCUUCUGAUGUUCUGGUAUCAUCACCCAAAGAAGUGGCAAUUCAAGUUAUUACAAGCUGAUGUUGCAUCAACCCCUCAUAUAUUUUAUGUUUUGGAUGCUUUUAAUGACUUAUAAGUCAUGACUAGCCUUUGAAAAACAGGCUGAAUGGCUACAUUAUUUUUGCCUGAACUAAAACAUGAGCAAGAAUUUUUGUUUUAAGAACUAUCAUAAUGCAUCCAACUCAGAUCAAAACGUUCCAUUUACAAAAAACUCUGUUCAUAAUGUGUGUUUAUUUUCAGAUACUUUUCCUUCCUUGGUUUGUAAUUCCAAGAGUCAUUAAAAAUGCAGUGACCUCUCAAGUCUAGUCUAGGGGCUAAUAAUAAUAUGAUGUCUCCCCACCACCAAUAUUUCUAGUAGGUUGAAUGUUAUUGGUAGGGUACACAAAUGCCACUUAAAAUCCACAUACAAUUAGACAUAAUCAUUCAUAUAUGUUAAGGUUAGGGAGAACCCUUGUGAUCAUCGGAUAUUCUGUACAGCAGUGGUUCCCAACCACCAGGCCACGGACCAGCACUGAGCUGCAAACUGCUGGCGGCCGGACUAUGGCACGUUAGCAGGCCCGGCCAUGCUCUGAGGAUUGGCUCGGCAGGAAUCUAAGUUCCCUGUAAGUUGUGCAACAAUGCAGUCGCACAGCUGCUAACUGAGUCCAGCCCAGAGGUCUAGGGCUCCCACACAGAGAGCUUCCUGGCUGGAGAGGCGCACUCCACAAGCAGCAGAAACUCCCUGCUUCAGGCAAUGAGCAUGCUGGUAGGGAAGGAGACAUAGGAAGGGAGGA